rnacentral:rRNA from 1 species
CCUACGGGAGGCAGCAGUGGGGAAUAUUGCGCAAUGGGCGAAAGCCUGACGCAGCGACGCCGCGUGAGGGAUGAAGGUCUUCGGAUCGUAAACCUCUGUCAGGAGGGAAGAAGUGGUUAUAUGCGAAUAGUGUAUGACUUUGCCGGUACCUCCAAAGGAAGCACCGGCUAACUCCGUGCAAGCAGCCCCGGUAAUACGGAGGGGGCGAGAGUUAAUCGGAAUCACUGGGCGUAAAGCGCGCGUAGGCGGGUUUUCAAGUCAGGGGUGAAAUCCCAGGGCCCAACCGGGGAACUGCCUGUGAUACUGGAGAGCGUGAGUGUCGGAGAGGGUGGCGGAAUGCCAGGUGUAGGAGUGAAAUGCGUAGAGAGCUGGAGGAACACCGGUGGCGAAGGCGGCCACCUGGACGACAACUGACGCUGAGGUGCGAAAGCGUGGGUAGCAAACAGGAUUAGAUACCCGUGUAGUC